CUAGGGUGGCCGUGGUCAUCUUACUGGGCAGCAUUGGAUGUAUCUGAUCUCUAAUACUGCCUGGUAAUGAUGACGGCGGGGCCCAGCGC
ensembl:miRNA